AUAAAUCUAAACGAAACGACAGUGAUGCGCCCGAAGUUAAAGCUUAGAUAUUACUCGGUAGACGGAACUUACAAAUUGGCCGGAGAUCAUGUCGAUGUAGUCCUGCCAACCCGUACAAACUCGUGAAACAAAAGAUGUAUUGGCGAAGUCGCCGACUUGAAAGUAAAGUACAAUGAAAAAGUAGAUUUUUUGUAUGGAUUGAUGUGCUGUUUUACAAAUCUCUAGAGAUGGCUAUUUAUAGCCUGUUACAACUGAUUUCCUAACCGACUAGGAUCUAUCUCUAAUCUUAAACGAUAACAAAUAUUUACAAACACAACUCGUAUCGGAGUUGGUUAUCAUACUCCCAUGGGCCAAUCUCUUUCUAUCUUCUUCUCCAGCCCACUUUAAGCCCAUAUUGGCCUAGCUGCCCCAACCUUCCAAUCGGCUGACCUUCAUCAACUCCGUUCGCCAAUCGGCCGAUAUACUGUAGCACCAAUCGGCCGAUUCCCAACUGUAGUUUCUAAUCCGCCGCAUCGGCCAAUCUUUUCCUUCCCUGACGCCGAUUCAAAAUACGUGUCAAAAUCUGGCGUCAACAUAUGCCCCCCAGUUUCGGAGUAAAACAUAACUUUUACUUUGAAAUUCUUUUUUAACUUUCUCUCCGAAACAAGCGCGGAAAAAAACCCCUUCUUUUUCGCAGUCUUCUAUCUGAUGAUUGCAAUCUUUUCGAUUUGGGCGCCUGAGACAACCGUUCCUCUGAAAUUUGUGUAGACAAUGCGGUAAAAAUCCCGCCAUUACCCCUUCUCUCGGACCAUCAUUAAAUACCAGCAUUCUCCGCCACUUCUUCUUCACGAGAUCAGUUACUCUCCUUCCCCCGACGAAUCUUCUUCCAUCACAUCUCAGUGCCCCUUUGCCUCCCGGUCGCAUCUCUCCGACGAUCU
rnacentral:lncRNA from 1 species